rnacentral:sRNA from 1 species
UUGACAGCACGGGAACUGAAGUCUUCUGUUAAUCCAAAGAAGAGGUAGAGCACUGGUUCCAGCAGUGCAGGCUUCCCAGCUUGGCUCUGCCAGUUUGCCUUAACCGCUAUAGUGAACAAGUAGUUCACUUUUCUUGCCCAUUCAGUCCUGGCUUUU